rnacentral:rRNA from 1 species
CGAAGGAUGCAAGCGUUAUCCGGAUUCAUUGGGUUUAAAGGGUGCGUAGGCGGACUGAUAAGUCAGUGGUGAAAUCUCUUUGCUUAACAAAGAAACUGCCAUUGAUACUGUCGGUCUAGAGUAUAGAUGACGUUGGCGGAAUAUGACAUGUAGUGGUGAAAUACUUAGAUAUGUCAUAGAACACCGAUUGCGAAGGCAGCUAACGAAACUAUAACUGACGCUGAGGCACGAAAGUGCGGGGAUCAAACAGGAUUAGAUACCCUGGUAGUCCGCACCGUAAACAAUGAUUACUCGUUGUUGGCGAUAUGACAGUCAGCGACCAAGCGAAAGCGAUAAGUAAUCCACCUGGGGAGUACGCCGGCAACGGUG